rnacentral:rRNA from 1 species
UACGUAGGGUGCAAGCGUUAAUCGGAAUUACUGGGCGUAAAGCGUGCGCAGGCGGUUGUGCAAGACAGAUGUGAAAUCCCCGGGCUUAACCUGGGAACUGCAUUUGUGACUGCACGGCUAGAGUGCGGCAGAGGGGGAUGGAAUUCCGCGUGUAGCAGUGAAAUGCGUAGAUAUGCGGAGGAACACCGAUGGCGAAGGCAAUCCCCUGGGCCUGCACUGACGCUCAUGCACGAAAGCGUGGGGAGCGAACAGG